AUUGAACGCUGGCGGCAUGCCUUACACAUGCAAGUCGAACGGCAGCACGGGAGCAAUCCUGGUGGCGAGUGGCGAACGGGUGAGUAAUAUAUCGGAACGUGCCCAGUCGUGGGGGAUAACGCAGCGAAAGCUGUGCUAAUACCGCAUACGAUCUACGGAUGAAAGCGGGGGAUCGCAAGACCUCGCGCGAUUGGAGCGGCCGAUAUCAGAUUAGCUAGUUGGUGGGGUAAAGGCCCACCAAGGCGACGAUCUGUAGCUGGUCUGAGAGGACGACCAGCCACACUGGAACGGAGACACGGUCCAGACUCCUACGGGAGUCAGCAGUGGGGAAUUUUGGAAAAUGGGCGCAAGCCUGAUCCAGCAAUGCCGCGUGCAGGAUGAAGGCCUUCGGGUUGUAAACUGCUUUUGUACGGAACGAAACGGCUCUUUCUAAUAAAGAGGGCUAAUGACGGUACCGUAAGAAUAAGCACCGGCUAACUACGUGCCAGCCGCCGCCGUAA
rnacentral:rRNA from 1 species